rnacentral:piRNA from 1 species
AGUGAAUAAUGCUUUGAAAU